ACAGCAGUAGCCGCGGUAAGACAGAGGAUGCAAGCGUUAUCCGGAAUGAUUGGGCGUAAAGGGCGCGUAGGCGGCCAUUCAAGUUAGAUGUGAAAGCCCUGGGCUCAACCUAGGAAUUGCAUUUGAUACUGUUUGGCUUGAGUUCGGGAGAGGUGAGUGGAAUUCCCAGUGUAGAGGUGAAAUUCGUAGAUAUCGGAAGGAACACCUGUGGCGAAAGCGGCUCACUGGACCAUUACUGACGCUGAGGCGCGAAAGCUAGGGGAGCAAACAGGAUUAGAUACCCGAGUAGUCCCUGUCUCUUAUAA
rnacentral:rRNA from 1 species